rnacentral:rRNA from 1 species
GAUGAACGCUGACAGAAUGCUUAACACAUGCAAGUCGAUGGGGAAGUGGUGCUUGCACCAUGGCAACCAUGGCGGACGGGUGAGUAACGCGUAAGGGACUUACCUGCAGGACUGGGAUAACAGGGGGAAACUCCUGACAAGACCGGAUAAUGUCAUGGAGCUGCAUGGCUUUAUGAUGAAAGGAGACGCCUGCGGAGAGCCUUGCGUCCUAUUAGCUAGUUGGUGAGGUAAUGGCUCACCAAGGCGAAGAUAGGUAGCCGGCCUGAGAGGGUGGACGGCCACAAGGGGACUGAGAUACGGCACUUACUACUACGGGAGGCAGCAGUGGGGAAUAUUGGAGAAUGGGGGCAACACUGAUCAAGCAAUUCUGUGUGCACGAAGAAGGUUUUCGGAUUGUAAAGUGCUUUCAGCAGGGAAGAAGUAAGUGACGGUACCUGCAGAAGAAGCGACGGCUAACUACGUG